GGCUCCAGCUUCAGCUUCUGGUUGCCUUCCACCCACUCUGCCCUCCUGGCUUGAUAAACAGUCACUUGCAGACAGCUGAGUGAGUGGAAGUUGGCCAGGAGCUGGCGCUGGAGCCCUGUGCGCUGGGGCAGGAGCCACCACCCAACUGCAGCUUCCCCAGUACCUGGAGCGGAGCAGCAGGGGCAGGAGGAACCACUGGAGGCGGGGGGAACUAAGCAGUACCUGGCUGGCUGCAGCUUUACUAGGAAGUUUACCAUGGGGGAAGCCAAGGGCCAGAUACAAUCAUUUUGUAGGUGCCCAUCUGCGAGCCAGAUCCAGUCAGUUGGAGGGCCAUACCUGGCUUGCGAGCCAUAUUUUGCCCGUUCCUGCUUUAACAUUUUCCUGUAUGUUACAGACUAAAAUGAAAGUAUAAGUUGAUAUUGUUAAAAUGAAUGGUUGUACGUUACUAUAGUGGACCAUCCUGUAAAUUGUCUUUGAAUUCUGCACAGGAGGUUGUCACUUACA